GUUGCAUAGUAUGCCUUUAAAGUACUUUGGAGAACAACCAUCUCUACCUGCUCCUAAUGUUCCGAGGGUCAGUGCCUCCACAGCUGAUGAUACAGCAGGUUCAUCCACUGCACAAGCGACUGAAAGUGAGGAGCAGUUACAAGCACUUACAUUCACUGAUACAUUAGUUUCAACCUCAGGCAGCAUGACAGAUUUCCCAUCCCUCAACACUCCCUCAACAAGCUCCAGCUAUCAAGAUAGAUCCAGUUGAAUGGUCAGCAUUCCUGUCAGACUCAGAAAGGACUGAUCUGGUAAGGAGAGAGCCAGUGCCAAUAAGUGACACCUUUACCUUCCCCAAGAAAUCAGAUGGACGAAGCUUUCUGUCACGAACGAGAGAUUGAUUGAGGACCCAGUAUUCAGGCCGGACAAACAGAUGAGUGAAAAAAACAGGUUUAUUGGAGGUGUUCUUGAAAAUACAGGGACAGGCAGGCUCGGUGGUCAGAAUAACAGUCCAAGGUCGGUACACAGUUCAGCAGACAAUGCAGGCAGGGAUCAGACAAGCUCAGAAAUCCAAAAACAGAAAAUGGUCAGGUAAUACAAGCAGGCGGUCAGAACAGGGCAGGAAAAAUCAGGUACAGGGUUCAGGCUGGCUCAGAAGGCAAUUGGGUAAUAUUGACAGGACAAAACUCACC